rnacentral:rRNA from 1 species
GGGCGCAAGCCUGAUGCAGCCAUGCCGCGUGUGUGAAGAAGGCCUUCGGGUUGUAAAGUACUUUCAGCGGGGAGGAAGGGAGUAAAGUUAAUACCUUUGCUCAUUGACGUUACCCGCAGAAGAAGCACCGGCUAACUCCGUGCCAGCAGCCGCGGUAAUACGGAGGGUGCAAGCGUUAAUCGGAAUUACUGGGCGUAAAGCGCACGCAGGCGGUUUGUUAAGUCAGAUGUGAAAUCCCCGGGCUCAACCUGGGAACUGCAUCUGAUACUGGCAAGCUUGAGUCUCGUAGAGGGGGGUAGAAUUCCAGGUGUAGCGGUGAAAUGCGUAGAGAUCUGGAGGAAUACC